rnacentral:rRNA from 1 species
CCUACGGGAGGCAGCAGUAGGGAAUCUUUCACAAUGGGCGAAAGCCUGAUGGAGCAACGCCGCGUGCCGGAUGAAGGCCUUCGGGUUGUAAACUGCUUUUAUAAGCGAGAAAUAUGAUGGUAACUUACGAAUAAGGAUCGGCUAACUACGUUCCAGCAGCCGCGGUCAUACGUAGGAUCCGAGCAUUAUCCGGAGUGACUGGGUGUAAAGAGUUGCGUAGGUGGCAUAAUAAGUAGCUAGUGAAAUCUGGUGGCUCAACCAUUCAGACUAUUAGCUAAACUGUUAAGCUCGAGACCGUUAGGGGUAACUGGAAUUUCUAGUGUAGGAGUGAAAUCCGUAGAUAUUAGAAGGAACACCAAUAGCGUAGGCAGGUUGCUGGGACGGUUCUGACACUAAGGCACGAAAGCGUAGGGAGCAAACGGGAUUAGAUACCCUUGUAGUC